GGUAAACUGAACAUUAUACUUUCCCCUUCCUUUCAGCCCAUUACUCUGAAGAAGAACCAAGGCUUCUAAACACUCCUUGCUUAGAAACCAGAGCAGCUUCUUCAGCAAACAUGUCUUGGUCUACAUGUGCCCUGUACUGGGCAUGAAGCUCUCGUGGUGCGUGCAUUCUAGUGAGGGAGUCGACAACCAAUGAACUCCAUUGAACCCCCAACUCCACGGAACCCUCAACUCAGGAGUGGUAGUGAGUGCCCUUGAAGAAAAGUCAAGCAUGGAGCUUUUUCAGAGACUCCUCAGGAAGGACUCAAACACAGACCUGGAUGGAGUGAAGGAAUGAACACUAUCUCUGGGAAGAAGGUUCCAUUCAGGCAGAGGAAAGACCAAUUGCAAAAGCUCUUAGUCAGGAGCAUGCUUGUGCGGUGGCAGCAGGGCCAUUGUGGCCGGAGUGGAGUGAGGGAGCAGGGGCCAGAGCCGAGGGGCAGCUGCAGACUUUCCAGGACUUCUCUCAUUUACACGUUGGACCGACCCCAGAGUAGGAUAAAGGGGCAGGCCAGCCGGGCAGCAGCCUGGGUCGAAAAGGGCACUAAAGGAUUCUGGGGGUAAUUCAGACAUCUGGUGCCCGUGAACUCAGAUUUCUGUCUGUCUCUGGGUGAACUGUAAGUUGGCUCCCAUCCACUGAGAGAUCCUUAACAACUGCUUACCUGGACAGCCUGUCUCCACAAUAAUUUUGCAACAUGCAGGUACAGGCAUAAGCUGCACGAUGUGGUCCUGUGACCAGCUUUCAGUUGCCUAAAGGCAGCAGUCACAGCUGGAAUUCUGAGAAUGCACCAUACCCUGUGAAGUGCCACUCCCUGAGAGAGAUUUAUGCUGUAUCUACAUUUA